rnacentral:rRNA from 1 species
UACGGAGGGAGCUAGCGUUGUUCGGAUAUACUGGGCGUAAAGCGCACGUAGGCGGCGCAGCAAGUCAGGGGUGAAAUCCCGGAGCUCAACUCCGGAACUGCCUUUGAAACUGCAGUGGCUAGAAUCCUGGAGAGGCGAGUGGAAUUCCUGGUGUAGCGGUGAAAUGCGCAGAUAUCAGGAGGAACACCAAUUGCGAAGGCAGCUCGCUGGGACGUUACUGACGCUGAGACGCGAAAGCCGUGGGGAGCAAACAGGAU